rnacentral:lncRNA from 1 species
GUGCUAAGUUUGCUUGAAAGAACUAUUAUGAUGCUUUUAUGAACAUGAGUUAUUUGUCAAUAUUUUAAAAUAGUUCAUGAAUAUUCAAAAAAAGAAUGGGUGAUGAUUACCAUGAAUACAAUAAUGGUGGAUUAUUCUAGGAUUACCAUGGCUAAAUUUUAAUUGUUUUGGAUUCAAACAAUAUUGGCCACCAUAGUUUUCAAAUGAUAAUGUUGAUAUUAAACAAAGAUGCCAGCCGGUUUCAAAAUAGGAAAUUAAAUGAAUGUGGCAUUACCAUUCAAAUG